AGAGAAGAAAACAAGGUGGAGAUUAAUACAGCAGGGCAUGGGUACUCUUCUCCAAUCCAAACCACAGUUUCACAGGCCACCCAUGUAUGACCCGACUUGUGAGUCUGUGGCAAGUCAAAAUUGAGAACAAACACAGCCAGACUACAUUUCAAUUCUCAAGGGUGUUUUGUUUGGAGUUGGAAGCUCAUUCAGUCAUGGGAACCGUCAUCGACUCCCAUUUCUUGGCCCUUACUGCCAUUGUUACGGUGGCCUAUCAAUUGUUCUUCUUUGUAGUCACAGCACUUCUGAAGUUCGACAAAGUCACGGACUUUGCAGGCAGCACAAAUUUUGUUAUACUUGCCGUGUUGACCUUGGUUGUGAAAGGAUCAUGGAACUUCCGACAGGUGGUUUUGUCCAUGCUUGUGGUAAUCUGGGGCCUUCGUUUAGGACUGUUUCUAUUAAUGAGGAUACUGCGGUGGGGGGAGGAUAGACGUUUUGACGAAAUGCGCAAUAAUUUGGGAAGAUUGGCUGUUUUUUGGAUUUUUCAGGCUGUGUGGGUGUGGACUGUGAGUUUACCUGUGACAGUUGUUAAUGCAAGUGACCGAGACCCCUCCCUUCAAGCUGCGGACAUUAUAGGAUGGAUAAUGUGGUCUUUAGGCAUUCUUGUUGAAGCAACUUCUGACCAACAAAAAUUAACAUUUAAAAAUUCUCCAGAAAACAGGGGGAAAUGGUGUGAUGUUGGACUCUGGAAGUAUUCACGCCACCCCAAUUAUUUUGGCGAGAUUUUUCUUUGGUGGGGAAUUUUUGUGGCUGCAACACCGGUACUAGAAGGUGCAGAAUGGCUUGUCAUCUUUGGGCCAUUAUUUCUCACAUUAUUGCUCCUUUUCGUCAGUGGAAUACCACUGCUUGAGGAAUCAGCGGACAAAAAGUAUGGGAAUGUUUCUGCAUACAGGCACUAUAAAAGAACAACGAGUCCUCUCAUCUUGCUUCCCCCUGCACUGUAUGGCAAUUUGCCAUCAUGGCUCAAAUCAACACUGCUAUUUGAGUUUCCUCUCUACAGUCGCAGUCUUCCCCAAGAAAACUGGAAGUCAAGAUAAUAAUGCAAAAUCCUGGCAGACUGUGCCAGGUGAACAGCAGCAGAAAAGGAAAGCUUUACAAUACAAAUCUUCGGCCUCACGUUGCUUAUGUUUCAAUUAAGUGUGCGAGGACAUCAUUAGAAUUUAGUGUAUAUAUCUGUUGGGAAUCAACCCGAAAAGACUCGUCUCAUCAAAUCAGUUGGGCUUGAUGGCUUCUUUAAUUGGAAUAGAAGAAGCCACCAACAGAGCAAUGGACAGAAGAUUAGUUAGACUGUUCACAGGCUUCUUGCUGACUGUGAAUGUGCAUGCCUUGAAAACUGAUGCUCUUCAUCUGGGGAGUUAGUGAUUUCUGCUCAUUUAUGUUUCUCCUUUCCAAUAGUUGUUAUGUUCUACACUGCUGUAUUUUAGUCUUGUUAGCAUUACAUUAGAUUUUGAGGCUAAUUAGAUACGGAUGAUGGGAUGUUUGUAAAGACUUUUGCUUUUGAAACAGUGAUUAAAUGCGGAAAAAGUUGAAAAAAGUUAAGGAUUGAAA